rnacentral:rRNA from 1 species
AUUGAACGCUGGCGGCAGGCCUAACACAUGCAAGUCGAACGAGUGGCGGACGGGUGAGUAAUGUCUGGGAAACUGCCCGAUGGAGGGGGCUAACUACUGGAAAAGGUAGCUAAUACCGCAUACCAUCGGAUGUGCCCAGAUGGGAUUAUCUAGAAGGUGGGGUAAUGGCUCAACUAGGCGACGAUCCCUAGCUGGUCUGAGAGGAUGACCAGCCACACUGUAACUGAUCCACGGUCCAUACUCCUACGGUAGGCAGCAGUGGGGAAUAUUGCACAAUGGGCGCAAGCCUGAUGCAGCCAUGCCGCGUGUAUGAAGAAGGCCUUCGGGUUGUAAAGUACUUUCAGCGAGGAGGCGUUACUCGCAGAAGAAGCACCGGCUAACUCCGUGCCAGCAGCCGCGGUAAUUC